rnacentral:rRNA from 1 species
GGCUAUCAUGCAGUCGAGCGAACAGAUAAGGAGCUUGCUCCUUUGACGUUAGCGGCGGACGGGUGAGUAACACGUGGGCAACCUACCCUAUAGUUUGGGAUAACUCCGGGAAACCGGGGCUAAUACCGAAUAACUUGUUGUCUCUCAUGAGACAAUUCUAAAAGACGGUUUCGGCUGUCGCUAUAGGAUGGGCCCGCGGCGCAUUAGCUAGUUGGUGAGGUAACGGCUCACCAAGGCGACGAUGCGUAGCCGACCUGAGAGGGUGAUCGGCCACACUGGGACUGAGACACGGCCCAGACUCCUACGGGAGGCAGCAGUAGGGAAUCUUCCACAAUGGGCGAAAGCCUGAUGGAGCAACGCCGCGUGAGUGAAGAAGGAUUUCGGUUCGUAAAACUCUGUUGUAAGGGAAGAACAAGUACAGUAGUAACUGGCUGUACCUUGACGGUACCUUAUUAGAAAGCCACGGCUAACUACGUGCCAGCAGCCGCGGUAAUACGUAGGUGGCAAGCGUUGUCCGGAAUUAUUGGGCGUAAAGCGCGCGCAGGUGGUUUCUUAAGUCUGAUGUGAAAGCCCACGGCUCAACCGUGGAGGGUCAUUGGAAACUGGGAGACUUGAGUGCAGAAGAGGAUAGUGGAAUUCCAAGUGUAGCGGUGAAAUGCGUAGAGAUUUGGAGGAACACCAGUGGCGAAGGCGACUAUCUGGUCUGUAACUGACACUGAGGCGCGAAAGCGUGG